GCCGGCAGCUAGCUCUCUGCAACUCGCACAUGGUCGCCCUCUGAAGCAAAGCAGGGCUGCGCCCGGUGAGUACUUGGAUGGGAGAUCACAUGGGAAAGCUAGCUGGCUGCCGGAA
ensembl:rRNA 5S_rRNA 5S ribosomal RNA